GAGCGGAGGAGCAGUCGCAGCUGCUUUCCGAGGAAGCCGGUGUUGCCGAGAUUGCCAAAAUGCUUUGGAGUUUUUAACUGAAUCUAAGAAAAGUCCAAAAUAGAUCUGAGACUGUAAAAACAGAAACUGCAGCAAGGGGGAUUCAGUGCCAAUGCAUCAACAAAAAAGACAACCAGAGUUAGUGGAAGGAAAUCUUCCUGUUUUCGUGUUCCCCACGGAGCUCAUAUUUUAUGCAGAUGAUCAGUCAACACAUAAGCAAGUGUUGACACUGUACAAUCCCUAUGAGUUUGCCUUAAAGUUCAAAGUGUGAUUCGUCAUCGAGAUGUUCGAUCGUGUCACUAUGGUGUAAUAGACAAAUUCCGUCUCCAAGUUUCUGAGCAAAGCCAAAGGAAGGCUUUGGGAAGAAAAGAGGUUGUUGCUACUCUUCUCCCAUCAGCAAAAGAACAACAAAAGGAAGAAGAGGAAAAAAGAAUAAAGGAACAUUUAACUGAAAGUUUAUUUUUUGAGCAGUCGUUUCAACCAGAAAACAGAGCUGUAUCCUCAGGACCUAGUUUACUAACUGUCUUCCUGGGAGUGGUGUGCAUUGCAGCCCUGAUGCUGCCUACACUGGGGGAUGUGGAAUCGCUGGUGCCUCUCUACCUCCACUUAAGUGUGAAUCAAAAAUUAGUGGCUGCUUAUAUCUUAGGUCUUAUCACAAUGGCCAUACUUAGAACAUGAGCAAGGAUUUCAAUUGACUUCUGAAGUAAAUCUGUCUUGAAAAUAUGAAUGUGGACUGCCUUUUAUCUCUAUUUCACUCCAUUAACAUGCAGCAAACUAUUGAAUGAUUUCAAAUAAUUGCAAAUGUAUAAUAUAUAUUUUAAAUUAUAAUUUAAUUUGAAGGACUGCAGAACAUUAUUUUACAGACAGCAAGGAUGCUUCUGAGUG
rnacentral:sRNA from 1 species